rnacentral:rRNA from 1 species
ACAACCUGCCUUAAGGAUGGGGAUAACAGACGGAAACGACUGCUAAUACCGAAUACGUUCUAAGCAUCGCAUGGUGCAUAGAAGAAAGGGUGGCCUCUACAAGAAAGCUAUCGCCUUAAGAGGGGUUUGCGACUGAUUAGGUAGUUGGUGAGGUAACGGCUCACCAAGCCGACGAUCAGUAGCCGGUCUGAGAGGAUGAACGGCCACACUGGAACUGAGACACGGUCCAG